rnacentral:rRNA from 1 species
GAUGGACGCUGGCGGCGUGCCUAAUACAUGCAAGUAGAACGCUGAAGCUUGGUGCUUGCACCGAGCGGAUGAGUUGCGAACGGGUGAGUAACGCGUAGGUAACCUGCCUCUUAGCGGGGGAUAACUAUUGGAAACGAUAGCUAAUACCGCAUAAAAGUCGAUAUCGCAUGAUAUUGAUUUGAAAGGUGCAAAUGCAUCACUAAGAGAUGGACCUGCGUUGUAUUAGCUAGUUGGUGAGGUAACGGCUCACCAAGGCGACGAUACAUAGCCGACCUGAGAGGGUGAUCGGCCACACUGGGACUGAGACACGGCCCAGACUCCUACGGGAGGCAGCAGUAGGGAAUCUUCGGCAAUGGGGGCAACCCUGACCGGGCAACGCCGCGUGAGUGAAGAAGGUUUUCGGAUCGUAAAGCUCUGUUGUAAGAGAAGAACGAGUGUGAGAGUGGAAAGUUCACACUGUGACGGUAACUUACCAGAAAGGGACGGCUAACUACGUG